UUUCUCUUUUCCCAUCUCUGCUUGUUCGCUCUCCCAUUCUCUUUCUCUCCUUUACCAACAAAAUCCCCUUCCUCUUUGUCUCCAUCUCUCCCAUAAAUUUCUUUCUCAAAACCCUACAGCCUCCCCAGAUUCUCUUCGAAUCCCUACCCUUCAUCCAGAAAUUCAGAGCCAGAUCAGCGUAGUCAAGUACCACGGUGAUGCCAUGAAAGAGAACACCGUCCAGGCCAUGGACGGCCUCACCUCUACAUUUUCUCCGCCUAUUCCUCUUCCUGCUUAAUCCUUCGUUCAGAUCCAGUGCCCGGAAGGCUUCUCUCUCAAAGACAAUGUUUUUUUAAUUUGGGUUUUUAGGGUUCUUCUGGUUUUGGGGUUUUUCUAGUGAUUUUGCUCAUGAUUUUUAAUUUUGCAGAAUUGGUUAAAGAGGUAGUGCUGGUUUGGUUCCUCUUUGACCUGCUUUCAAAACAUGACAAGGCUUCCUUCUUUUACAAUGACCUCCUAAUUUUGGAUGCCUUCGUGAUUCAUAAGGAAAUAUGAAAGCAAUUUGCAAUACUAAUUUGAUUCUUUUCUCUCAAUUUAAUUAUAAUUAGAAAAUGGGAUCUUCAAUUUUUCUUUAGAUUGGUACAUGAUAACAAAAGUCUGCUUUAAGUAUGUUCUGGGUAAAACUAGAAAUUAACAUUGAAAAUGAUAAGCUUGGUGUGUGUUUAUGCUAUUUGAUUAAGAGAUAGCUGUAGGUCCAUUAGUUUGUCUGUUUGUUGGUUUUUCUUGUUGAUUAAAGCAACUGCUACAUUUGUUGAAGAACCUAGUUACGAUGACAUUGAUUGAAACAAAUCAUCAUAUUAUGCACUGAGCAUUAGAGAAUUGCAUGUUCAAACAUCAUGUAACAUGUGCAUAUGCUUUUCAAAGUUUGUGGGCCUGUGAGCAAUUGGGUUAUUUGAAUUUGAGUUGAUAUAUGUGUUUUGUUGGUGGCAGGUUUAUGGGAGUGGGGGCUUGGCCCCUUGGCAUUACUUUCAUAGGUUGUAUCGCCUCAAGUUUUAAACUGAUUAGUCUUUGAGGCAUUUAACUUUGGCUAAAGUCUUUGAGGCAUUUCCUUAUCAAUUGAUUCGAUUUUGAUACGUUCGAUUCUUUUUAUGAACAAAAAUUUGAUUUCAGAUCUGGAUUUUAUAGGAGGUUAGAUGUAACUAAGUACGGAGGUUUGAUGCUCCACUCUGUCUGCCUUCAGAAGGCAACUUUAUUUAUUUCCCACAUAUAUGGGUUCAAUUUCAGAUAUGAUGCAAUAUUGUUCGUGGUGUUCAGUUUUGAUUUGGCUUCGAAGAGAUUCUAAACCUAUGAGCUCCUAUGGCUUUCUGACUCUCAAGUAUUCUCAUGGCUCUGUUUUCAGGCUUCCAAGGAUAAGAAUAUGCUUGGAGGAUCUUUAUAAAUGACAAAGCAGCUGAAGAUAAGCUGGAGAACAAGAGGAUGAUGGACAGCUCUACUAAAGAAAUAGGACAAGCCUUCUAAGGGCAAGAGAAGAAAAGGCUUUGAGUUAUGAAAAGUGCUGAGCAAGGGCAGAUGAUUCUUCAAACUCUCAAGCGGGCAAUUGGUGUUUGAGUCUGAAAUUGGGUGAUAUAAGAAGAUCAUAAGCCAAAGAGCGUACCAGUUUUGCCAUGGAUAUGAACCCCAAUUGACGUCAAUGCCUUGGAAAAAAACCCCUCUCUAUUCUACCUUGACCUGACCCCAGGUUGGUCUGAAAGACCCCAAAACAAAACCAAAAAAAAAAAAAAAACAAGAGAAGAGAACAGGGAAAGAAGAAGAAAUUCAGAAGAAGAAACAAAAGUGGAGAAAUGAACAAACUAAAGAAACGAAGAAGAGAGAGAUUAUUGAACUGGUUGAUGUUUACUAAGUUUAGCUCCAUUAUGGAUGUAUGUAUAGCUGCAGUAACAGAUUAAUCAAAUAUUGAUAUUUUUAUGAAUGAAUUCCAUAUUUGAUGAAUGCA